rnacentral:rRNA from 1 species
AUUGAACGCUGGCGGCAGGCCUAACACAUGCAAGUCGAACGAGUGGCGGACGGGUGAGUAAUGACUGGGAAACUGCCUGAUGGAGGGGGAUAACUACUGGAAACGGUAGCUAAUACCGCAUACCAUCGGAUGUGCCCAGAUGGGAUUAGCUAGUAGGUGGGGUAAAGGCUCACCUAGGCGAGGAUCCCUAGCUGGGCUGAGAGGAUGACCUGCCACCCGGGAACGUAGACACGGUCCAGCCUCCUACGGGAGGCAGCAGUGGGGAAUAUUCCACAAUGGGCGCAAGCCUGAUGCAGCUAUGCCGCGUGUAUGAAGAAGGCCUUCGGGUUGUAAAGUACUUUCAGCGUGGAGGCGUUACCCGCAGAAGAAGCACCGGCUAACUCCGUGCCAGCAGCCGCGGUAAUAC